GAUGAACGCUAGCUACAGGCUUAACACGUGCAAGUCGAGGGGCAUCAGGAAGAAAGCUUGCUUUCUUUGCUGGCGACCGGCGCACGGGUGAGUAACACGUAUCCAACCUGCCCUUUACUCGGGGAUAGCCUUUCGAAAGAAAGAUUAAUACCCGAUAGUAUAAUGAUUCCGCAUGGUUUCAUUAUUAAAGGAUUCCGGUAAAGGAUGGGGAUGCGUUCCAUUAGGUUGUUGGUGAGGUAACGGCUCACCAAGCCUUCGAUGGAUAGGGGUUCUGAGAGGAAGGUCCCCCCACAUUGGAACUGAGACACGGUCCAAACUCCUACGGGAGGCAGCAGUGAGGAAUAUUGGUCAAUGGACGCAAGUCUGAACCAGCCAUGCCGCGUGCAGGAUGACGGCUCUAUGAGUUGUAAACUGCUUUUGUACUAGGGUAAACUCACCUACGUGUAGGUGACUGAAAGUAUAGUACGAAUAAGGAUCGGCUAACUCCGUGCCAGCAGCCGCGGU
rnacentral:rRNA from 1 species